GGGCCGUUAGCUCAACUGGCAGAGCAGCGGACUUUUAAUCCGCGGGUUCAGGGUUCGAUCCCCUGGCGGCCCA
rfam:Streptomyces thermoautotrophicus strain H1 H1_chromosome, whole genome shotgun sequence.